CGAGAGCCAUCCUCUAGUUAAAGGCAUUGUGUCUCCAGGAGGCCCGGGUUACAGGGCAGCCACCCAUAGGCAACGCCACACAUUUAACCCAUAAUUGCCCAUCAGCCCAGAACCUGGCUGCAGAGAAAAGCUACCAGCUGUUGGUAACCGAACACUGCCUUGCUAAGAGAAGCUUUUUGACAGCCUCUUCACAUAAGUGGGGGAAAUGGGUGCCGCAAAGCUCUGGAUCAGGAGUGUAAUGGCUUCCAUGGGAGCGGCCAAAUUGCUGCAGUGAUGGCAUCUCAGCUUUCUCCUCCCAGGGCAUGGGCCAGUUAGACUUCGGAUACUGAGAGGAAUGUGGAAAUGCAAAUGGCACCAAGGAAGUGCACAUAAGUUCAUGGAUGAUGGAUCCAAUGUGGAAUCAGGGAACGCUUGGGUCACACCCUUAACCAGGCCUUAUCUCUGAGGGAAGAAGACAACUGCCUAUCCAGCUUGAGCUGAUGUCCUCCAACAUCCUGUCACUGGAUUACAGAUGACACAAAGGUUUUCCUAUUGGAUAAAGUUUAAGGAUGAUCUUCUACCGAACGAUGAAGUGCAUUUCAUGAAGAUUGUGACAAAUUUACCAGCCUAAUCCAGAGUGAGAAAGCUAAAAAAAUUGAGAUUUUAGGAUGAGAAUAUCCAGAUGCAUUCAGAUACUAUGAAGGAUAAUACAUAUGACAAAGAAAUAUAUGUAACAAUGCAUAGUAUUUCUCCAGAGAAAAUGAAAAGAAG
rnacentral:lncRNA from 1 species